rnacentral:lncRNA from 1 species
AAACAUGACCAUAUUUUAACCAGUCCCUAGACCCAAUAACUCUCACAAUAUAAAUUACUUAUAAUCUCCUUUAGAUUUUCAAGACUGUUCCCUUCAUUCUUUGGCAGGAAAGUGGCAACAAGUUGAAUCUCUUGCUUUCUAGCAUAAAAUGAUCCCCAUACAUCUUUUAAGAAAACUUAUUCAUAUGCUCCAAUGCACUGUCUUUAGACAGUGACAUCACAUGAAACAGAAGAGAGCUGUCUAUACCCCUGAAACAAUUAAGUUCAACAAAUCAUAUGAUUGUGUGGUAUCGUAAUUCAGUUAUCAUGAACAUGUCAGCAUACAGAAAAAUUGGUACAUGAAGAUGGAGGUGUAACAUCAAUACUUAAUCGAAUGGACAGUCCAAAAUAAGACUAAUGAAUGUACACCAAUUUCAGAAGAUAAUGUAAAUCUUGUAAUUGUUAAAAAUAGAGAGAUUAAACAAAACCUAAAACUCAAAUCACUGGAAAAAAGAAAAAGAAA